rnacentral:rRNA from 1 species
AGUGAACGCUGGCGGUAGGCCUAACACAUGCAAGUCGAACGGCAGCACAGUAAGAGCUUGCUCUUACGGGUGGCGAGUGGCGGACGGGUGAGGAAUACAUCGGAAUCUACUUUUUCGUGGGGGAUAACGUAGGGAAACUUACGCUAAUACCGCAUACGACGUACGGGUGAAAGCAGGGGAUCUUCGGACCUUGCGCGAUUGAAUGCGCCGAUGUCGGAUUAGCUAGUUGGCGGGGUAAUGGCCCACCAAGGCGACGAUCCGUAGCUGGUCUGAGAGGAUGAUCAGCCACACUGGAACUGAGACACGGUCCAGACUCCUACGGGAGGCAGCAGUGGGGAAUAUUGGACAAUGGGCGCAAGCCUGAUCCAGCCAUACCGCGUGGGUGAAGAAGGCCUUCGGGUUGUAAAGCCCUUUUGUUGGGAAAGAAAAGCAGCAGGUUAAUACCCCGCUGUUCUGACGGUACCCAAAGAAUAAGCACCGGCUAACUUCGUG